rnacentral:tRNA from 1 species
GCCUGGGUGGCUCAGUCGGUUAAGCGUCUGACUUCAGUUCAGGUCACAAUCUCAUGGUCCGUGAGUUCAAGCCCCGCGUCGGGCU